AUUGAACGCUGGCGGCAUGCCUUACACAUGCAAGUCGAACGGCAGCACGGGAGCAAUCCUGGUGGCGAGUGGCGAACGGGUGAGUAAAGUAUCGGAACGUGCCCAGUCGUGGGGGAUAACGUAGCGAAAGUUACGCCAAUACCGCAUACGAUCUAUGGAUGAAAGCGGGGGAUCGCAAGACCUCGCCCGAUUGGAGCGGCCGAUAUCAGAUUAGGUAGUUGGUGGGGUAAAGGCUCACCAAGCCGACGAUCUGUAGUUGGUCUGAGAGGACGACCAGCCACACUGGGACUGAGACACGGCCCAGACUCCUACGGGAGGCAGCAGUGGGGAAUUUUGGACAAUGGGCGAAAGCCUGAUCCAGCCAUGCCGCGUGCAGGAUGAAGGCCUUCGGGUUGUAAACUGCUUUUGUACGGAACGAAAAGGUUUGGCCUAAUAAGCUGAGCUCAUGACGGUACCGUAAGAAUAAGCACCGGCUAACUACGUGCCAGCCGCCGCCGUAA
rnacentral:rRNA from 1 species